GUAGAGGUUCAUGGGACAAAGUCCAGGAGAAAACGGACACAAGCUUCCAGGUGUCUUCUCCCAGUGAAGUGACAUGGAUGUGCUUAAUUGUGUCAGCAAUGAUGUGACAAUACCUGUGAAGUGUUGACAGAAAUCUACACCAUGCAUAUAGAAGUCAUGUUCUCUCGAUAGCAUAUCACUGCAAUCUAUAAUUAUUCAUUAUGACACCUUCAUUAUCCAAAAUGAUGUCUGUGGAGAAUGUUGUGCUAUGGAUACUCAACAUCUCCAGUCAAUUUUGAAGGAGAGAGAGAGAGACAGCGUGAGCAGGGG